UUAAUUAAUUUCCUAACCAUAUGGCUACACUUAUUUCCCAAAGUAUAUUUUUCUUCAUUCUCCUCUCUUUCUACACUCUCACAAUCAUAGUUGCACAAGAUGAGACCGGUUUUGUGAGCUCAAUAGAUCCUAAGUUACUUAGAAAAAAACAACAUGCAAGCCAUUUUAGGUUUUAUUGGCAAGACAUCGUGGGUGGAAACAAUGCCACCUCAAUUCCAAUAAUUCCUCCACUCCCUAAAUUCAACAAUUCAUUUAGUGCUUUUGGUUUGGUGAGAAUAAUUGACAAUGCUUUAACCGUUGGACCAAAUUUAAGCUCAAAGCUUUUGGGAAGAGCUCAAGGGUUUUAUGCCUCUACCUCACAAACCGAGCUAGAUUUUCUUAUGGUUAUGAAUUUUGCCUUAUUUGAAGGAAAAUAUAAUGGAAGCACAAUUACUAUAUUGGGAAGAAAUGUUGCUAACAAUAAGGUUAGAGAGUUGCCUGUGAUUGGUGGAAGUGGUGUUUUUAGGUUUGCUAAGGGAUAUGCUGAAGCUAGCACUUAUUCUUUUGAUCCCUUAUCGGGGGAUGCUACCAUUGAAUAUAAUGUCUAUGUUUCUCAUCAAAUAUAAUUUAUUUUUUAUGCUUUGUAUUGUUAAUAACUUGUGAUGAUGCUCAUGAGCUUUGCAUGUUUCAUGUGAGGGUUUAGCUCAUCAUAUAAGCCUUUCUUAUUUGUGUGUAAUUGUAGUUGGUAUCAUAAUUUUAAUAAUAUUUUAUAGGCUUAUAAUUGCAGUUUUACUCUCUCUAUUUAUACUUAUUUAUAAAAUUGGUCCUCCUAUUUUAAAAGGCGACAGUUUUGAAUUUUUUAACUAAAAAAUGAUGACGUAAGAUGUUUUAAAUAAUAUGUUAUAUGAUACGAUAAUGUAGAGUGAUUAACACUCAUGAAAUUGAAAUCAAACGCUGUGAAAAUUUGAAUUUGAACUUCGAAAUUUUUUCAUAUUUUUAAUUUAAUUAAUUACAUAUGAAUAACUAAUGCAUCUAGAUGGUUCUAUAUCAUAUAAUUGUAUGUCACGUCAUUUAAAAUAUAUUAAAUCGUCAUUUUUUUAGUUCAAAAAUCUGAGAGAGACCAAAACUGUAGACUUUUAAAAUAAAAGGACUAAUUCUGUAAAUCAGUAUAAAUAUAGAAACCAAAAUUACAAUUAAACAUAUUUUAUAUUAUUAAAAAAUAUUUUAUUUUAUAUUUAAAUUAAUUGUUCCCACCACACUUUGUUUUUUGGCAAUGCUACAGAAAAGAUGUAAAGUGUAAUAAAAUAAAAUAUUAUAUUUAUUUUUUAUUAUUAUAAAAUUAUUAUUUACGAAAAAUACUUAUGAUUACAUUUUAAAUUAUAUUUUUGAGAGGUCAAUAUUAGACACAUACAAAUGAUAUAGUAAUGAAAAUAAUCUACAUUUGAAAGUGUGGGACAAAUAUUUAAUCAUAGAUAUGUCCAAUUUGUCAAAUUAUUGACUUGGUAUAUAUUUUGUACGCAUAUAUUUUCAAUAUAAUAUUAUACAAUUAUCCACACACCCCAUUAAAACAAUUAUGGCCUAAUGACUUAGUCGACUACUAUGAAUGAAUAAAUAAAUUGAAAUUCCCUCAAAUUGACAUUUUUAAUAAUUUAUAAAAUGAUAUAAAACUAGAUUUUGAAUAAGUAUUCUUCUAUAUCCCUCAUCAUGUAAGGAACAAACAAGAAGAACAAUAAAAAAAGACGAUUAAAGACCGAAUAGAGACGAUUAAGAAAUGAUUAAACUUAAUUAUUGCUUCUUGGGAGACAAACAGAAACAACCAAAGGAGGCCAAAAUGACAACAAUAGGUCUAAGGUGUUGGUGUAUUUUCAGUACAUUUUCUAGACACACAAAAAUUCACCCUAAUUCCUACUAAUUGCUCUCUUCUUUAAAGUUUUACGCAAUGGUUUAAACGGCGAUCGCAAUCGCGUUAAAGAUUUCACGAUUUUGACUAUUACAAAUGUUAUAUUACAAAUUACGAUGGUAGUGAUGUAAAUUAAUCACAUUAUUGCUUAAAUUUUAUUAAAAUUAUUUGUAUUUUUGUAUAAUAUAUAAUCAUAAUAAUUUAGACGUGAGAAAAGAUCAAAAUUGAAGAAAGAGGUAAUAUAAUAUUAAAAUACAUUUUAAAAAUGUGUUUUGAUAUCCUUUUAAAAUGAAAAAAAUUAGAUUUCAAUUUUUUUUUAUAACAACAACGUUUUAUUGUAAUCAUUUUCUAUUAUUUUUCUUCACAUAUUUAAAAUGACAAAAAACAGUAACCGUUGCUAUUUUUAUCUUUUUGUCGCAGCCGUUUUAUCGGUCGCGGAUGGUUGUACUGGACACAAACAUUCAUUUUAAUCAUGAUCAAAACAAGUUGCAAUAAAAGCUAGUGCUAAAUUUUUUUUUUAUAACUUUUUUAAUAAAAUAAAAAGAACGGUCUUAAACCCAAAAUAAAACUAGUCUAGUAGAAUAGUUGGGAUCUUUCAAACAAAAAAAAGUCAUAAGCAUUUUUUUAGCGCAAAAGUAAAUUCUCAAAUUAAACUUAUGACAAAAAUAUUUAAUAUAAUAAUAUUUAUAUUUUGUUAGUUGAAUCAAGACUAAAAAAUAAAUUAAUUAUUUUUGUCUAAAAUGAAUAAAAAAAGGAUACUCUAAAAGUGGGCUUCAAAGACCCAAAUUAAAAUUAGCAUAACUUUUGAAAAUCUUUGGGAGGAAAUGAGAGAUCUAAAGACCCAAGGCAAAACAAGUUCAAAUGUUGACCAAAAAUUAAAUGUUCAAAUCCAUUGAUAAAGUAAAAUAAAACACAGAGAAAGGAUAGAAGGAUAAAGUGCUCUUGUGAUUCGCCUCUUCUUUAGGUGUGGAGUGCUAAUCUAAUCUAGGUGUAAUUUUGAUUAACAAUUGGAGUUUAGUGACUUGAUAUUCUUAAGUGUGGUAGGAGUGCCUUGCGACUGUCAUGUUGUAGUAGCUAAAACAAUGUUGAGUUGUCCUAUUUGGACAUUUGUAUAAAAAAGCUACAAGGACAAAAUUUGGGAAUUUUUAUAAUAUCUUUUCUAUUUUUUUACAAUACCUUAUUUUAAAAAUUAUAUAUUAAAAUAUUUUAUUUUUUAAAAAAGUAGUUUUUUUUUAGGAAGUCACAUUCUAGAGAUGCAAUCGUGUAUUGGUUAAUUUAAUUUUUUGGCUAAUUGAAAAUAUAAUCAAAUAGUACAUUAAAUAUAAUAAAAUAUAACUAAAUUAUAUUAAUAAAAUUUAAUAAAAUAUAUUAAAUAUAUAUAUAUAUAUAUAUAAAAAAGACUACUUCACAUAGUCGCAUGUCCAUAUUGCGAUCUAUUGAAGACCUAAAAAAGUAAAGUAUUUUGAUAUAUAAUUUUUAAAAUAGAGUAUUUUGGAUAUUUUUUUCAAAAACCAAAAUUAGAAUAUUAUAGAAAAAAUUCGAAAAUUUGGAUAUUAGGACUUGUUUGAUUGUGUUUUACUUUUUAGUUUUUGAAAACUAUUUUAUAAAUGAGUUUUAGAAAACUGUUUUUAAAAAGAAAAUUUUAAAAAAAUAUGUUUGACAACUCCAAUUUCUAAAACAUUUUUUGACUAUGGAAUUAAAAAAACUGAAAAAUGAAACGUAAGGGCUUGUUUAAUUGUAUUUUACUUUUUAAUUUUUGAAAACUAUUUUAUAAAUAAAUUUUAGAAAACUGUUUUUAAAAAGAAAAUUUAAAAAAAAUCUGUUUGACAACUUCAAUUUUUAAAACAGUUUUUGACUAAGAGUUAAAAAAAUAGAAAAAUGAAAAGUAAAACACAAUUUAUCUGUUUUGCUUUUUUAGUUUUAAAAAAUAUAAUAUUAAGAAUAGUUUUACUAAACAGUUUUUGAAAACAAGUAAUCCAAACAAAUUUUUUAGUUUUUAAAUUUUAAAAAACUAAAAUAGGAUUUUUGGAAUGUGAAUCAAACAAGCCCUAAAACACCAUUUAUCUGUUUUGCUUUUUUAAUUUUAAAAAGUAUAAUAUUAAAAAUAGUUUUAUAAAACAGUUUUUAAAAAUAAGUAAUCCAAACAAAUUUUUUAGUUUUUAAAUUUUAAAAUACUAAAUAAAUUUUUUGAGAUGUGAAUCACACAAGUCCUAAAUCUAUUCAUUCACUGUUAGAAAGGAAGAAACAAGUUGAAUCCUAAAAAGAGCGGAAAAUUUGAUUUAUGAAUUAUGGACAUAGAAAUUUGAGGAUAAAAGUUCUUAGAUCAAUAACAUGUAAGAAUCAUAUUAAUUCAAAUAUAAUAACUACUAUUGAUAUUUUGAUGAUAAUAAAAUAAGAAAAUAAUUAUUCAUUAAUAAUUUGUUUUAAUUGUGCAGUUUAUAUAAAGUUAAAUUAGAGUCUAUAUUAUUUACUAUUUACUAUAUUAACAUAAGUGUUUGUAACUUAGUAAUAAUUAUGUAUGAGCUAUUCAUUAAAAGAAAUACAAAGAACAUUAUUAACUAACAAAUAAUUAACUUUGGUUACUAAUAUUAGAGUAAGUAAUAACUCAGUAAGAGUAUAUGAGAUCAAAGCAAUAUGACUAUGGUUCAAACUAUAUAUUGAUUCCACAUGAUAAAUAUAUUGCAACUUCCGCUAGUGAAUCAUUGUUCGGUCAAACAGCUGAAACACAAGAUGUGUUGAAAACACAAGUAGCUUUAUAUUAAUACUCUAAGUUUGAAAACAAAGAAAUGCUUGUUGAUACACAUUAAGAUCAAGCAUAAGCCUCUCUAUUGCCACUACCCUCCUAUGCUAGUUUCUUGGUUGCUUCACCAUAUUAUUGACUUUAAGCCAAUCAAACUACUAUGUUUGACAAUCUCCAUUUUUACUAGAUUGUGCUUUCAUUUAUCUAUUAAUUACUAUCACUAUUUCAAAUGUAAAUUGACCUACAAGAUUAGUAUAAAUAGGGUCAAUACCUAUAAUAGCAUCUUGAAGUUUAUAAAAAUUGAGUGUCUUCUUUUGAGAGUUAAAGAGUGGGUUAUGUCUAGACUUCUGAACCACUUGAGACAAAGACCAUUAAUGGAAACAUCGUCCAAUACAUGCACUAAUGCAAUUAAACCUUGUUAGAUCGGUUCCUAUAUACUUGUUAGAUCGAGUUCUUAUCCGAUCUAACAUCAAGCGAUGUAAUAAAUAGUUAAUUAUUAAAUCAGCUAAAAUAAUAGAUGUAACAAGUCACAUUCAAAAAUGAUUUAUUAGAUCGGUUAAAUUUGAACCAAUAUAAUAAGUCAAAUUCAAAAAUGAUUUAUUAUAUCUGUUAAAUUUGAACCAGUAUAACAAGUCAAAUUCAAAAAUGAUUUAUUAGAUCUGUUAAAUUUGAACCAAUAUAACAAGUCAAAUUCAAAAUUAAUCUAUUAGAUCGAUUAAAUUUGAACCAAUAUAACAAGUCAAAUUCAAAAUUGAUUUAUUACAUCGGUUAAAUUUGAACCAAUAUAAUAAGUCAUAUUCAAAAUUGUUUAUUUUAUCGAUGAGCCAAUCGAUUUAAAUAAUUAACUUUUUAAUUUUUUGUUCUUUAUAACUUUCACCCCUUACAUAUGCAUCCUCAUAAUUUCACAUAUUACAUUAUUAACUAGAAUUUCUCAUUCAACCAUAAAACACAAAACUUCAUACGAAGCUUUACAUUUAAAAAUCAAUGAUAAUGAGUCAUAAUUUUUUUACAAAAUCUAAAUUAUCAAAUUUAGAGCUACAUAAUAUUCACUAGUUAAAAAAAAAAAACAUUAUCUUCUAUUAACAGUCUAAAGAUACUAAAAUAAUACAAGUGCUUCAAGCAUUUUCUAUUAGUUCAAGAAUCAAGUUUGCACAACGUUGUCGGACAUUCAUCAUUUCUUCAUCUUCGAAUGGUUUUGAUUAUCCAAAUAUCUGAAUUAUAAACAUUGAAAUAACAAAGUUAUCUAAAUCAUGUGACCAUAAAAAUUAUAAGUAGUUAAUUAAUACUAACUUUGUAAAAAUCUAUCACAUACCCGCAUCCAUGAAUCAACAAUACCACUAGAUACAAUGUUCAACAUAUGUAUUAUAAUGUAGUAACCACACUCAUAACCUUUAGGUUGUCUUUGACACUAAAAUUGAAUAUUAUAUGUAAAUUAUAAUGAGUAAAUAUUAUAUAGAUAAAAACAUAUAAAUUAUAAUUGAAAUUCUAUAUAUAUAAUCUAAACAACUUACAAUGGGAAUGCUCCAUGUGGGCUUGUUCUUUCUUAAUCUUCGCGACUUAUUAUAUUCACCCAAAACUCUACAAAAAUAAAAUAUUCAUUAAAGUGUAGCAAAUAAAAUCACAUAGAGAUGAAUUAGCAUAUAAAUAAAUAAAAUAGCAUGUUUUAAUGAAUGCAAUUGGAACAGUUUUAUUACUUUGUUCAUUAUAAAGAGGAAAUACAUUGAAACUUGAUAUUAUGAAACAUCAUUCUCUAUGUUCUUUGGUGGCCAGAGAUACAACUCAUAGAUAAGAAGGUACUAGUAGUACUUCCAAAACAAAACGUUAAAAUUAUUAAAUGAACUAAGAUAGUCACCACUCACGGGAAUAUUUAUAUAUUUAUCUAUAACCUUCUAUAGCAUGGUCCAUAACAAGAUGAAAUAUAUCGUCUUUAUAUAAACAUAAAUGUACUACGCCAAAAAUGACAUUUUAUAGCGCGUCUUUUAUAGCGCUUAUUAAAUACAAGCGCUGUUGUAUGAUAUUUUAAAAAUAACGGAGGGUACAACAUCGCUUUUUUGACAAGCGCUGUAAAAAAAACGCUGUAANNNNNNNNNNNNNNNNNNNNNNNNNNNNNNNNNNNNNNNNNNNNNNNNNNNNNNNNNNNNNNNNNAAAAAGCGUUGUAAUAGGCUUUUAAAAGUAAAAUAAGGAGGUCUUUUACAGCGCUCUUUAAAAAAGCGCUGUAAUAGGCUUUUAAAAAAUAAAAUAAGGAGGUCUUUUAUAGCGCUUUUUUAAAAAGCGCUGUAAUAGGCUUUUAAAAGUAAAAUAAGGAGGUCUUUUACAGCGCUCUUUAAAAAAAGCGCUGUAAUAGGCUUUUAAAAAAUAAAAUAAGGAGGUCUUUUACAGUGCUUUUUUAAAAAGCGCUGUAAUAGGCUUUUAAAAAGUAAAAUAAGGAGGUCUUUUACAGCGCUCUUUAAAAAAGCGCUGUAAUAGGCUUUUAAAAAGUAAAAUAAGGUCUUUUACAGCGCUUUUUAAAAAAAAGCGCUGUAAUAGGCUUUUAAAAGUAAAAUAAGGAGGUCUUUUACAGCGCUUUUUAAAAAAUACGCUGUAAUAGGCUUUUAAAAAGUAAAAUAAGGUCUUUUACAGCGCUUUUUAAAAAAAGCGCUGUAAUAGGCUUUUAAAAGUAAAAUAAGGAGGUCUUUUACAGCGCUUUUUAUAAAAAGCGCUGUAAUAGGCUUUAAAAAAAUAAAAUAAUAUGAACUCUAUGUAUUUCUUCGCACUCUUCAGGUAUUGUAUUCAUUUAUUCAUUUAUUUCUUAUAUAUAUAUAUAUAAUGUGUCUGUUAAUGCUAAUAAUCACAUUUAUUUGAUAGUGUUUUACAAGUUUUCCGAGCUCAAAUGGGUGCUACAGUGUCGAAGCAAAAAUCAAAUAAAUCACAUGGAUUCCAAUAAAGGUUUGAAAUGUAUGGCUUUAAAAUUUCAUUAACAAUCAAUCUACAAAUAUUUAUUGACUUAUAUGUUUUAUUUUAUAGUGCUCUCGUCAAACUAACAACAUAGACUGUGGAUACUGUAUAUUACGAUUCAUGAAGGAGAUUGUUGUUAUAAUCCCAGAAAGAGAUCUAAUUGAAAUAAAGGAAUGGAUAUUACAGCGUUUUUUUUAAAAAGCGCCGUAAAACUAAUACAACAAGCAGCGCGUUUUUAGAAGAGAUUUACAACGUUUUUUUUAUUUUAAAGAGCGCUGUUGUAUCUUUUUACAGCGCUGGAUACUACAACGCUUAAUUUUUUGGAAAAGCGCUGUAAAUGGCUUAAAAAAAGCGCUGUAAAAUACCAUUUUUCGCGUAGUGAUGUGUUACUUAUAUAUAAGGAAAAACUACUUAUAUAUUUCCACUAACUAAUUAUUUCCCUUUCCCUCUUUAUGCCUCCCACUUCUUAAGAUUCAAGGGCUCUUACAUCAACAACGAGAGAAAGGGAUGGUUUACCAAAUCAUGUCAUGCAAUAAAUGGUUAAGAGAAGAAUAAUGAGAUAGAAACCCUUGGAAAGCUAUAAAGGAGUUAAAGUACUAGAAUUCAAACUUUAGUCAAAAUGUAAAAAUAUUAACUUAGCUAACUAUAAAGCGCCAAUAAAUAAAAUUAAUAAAGGAAAAACAAAUUAUUGUAGCAAAUAAACCACAUAGAGAUGAAUUAUAUUAUUCACUACCUUUAAAGCCAUAAGCCUCUUAAAAAAGUGUUGAUAUACAAUAAUGUUGUGCCAUCAAGCAUGUUCGAAAUAUAUCUAUCACAAAAGCAAAGAAUCUAAAAACUCAAAUUUUGUGCAUUUGCAUGUGCCUUAGCAUUUCUAUUUUGUGCCAACACAACAAUGUUUAAUUGGAUUUGUAGAAGGUCAACAUAGUCAUUUCUAAAAAGAUCUAAAUGUGCGUUUGAAAUACAUAUACCAUAAAUACAAUAAACACUUACAAAUCGACGAUGUGCGUGAUAUUUUUAUUUGGUUUCCAUCCCAACGAACAUAGGAAAACUAUAGUAUUCUUCUUAGGACAAAUAACGAGAAAUUGCCAAUGAAAACUACAUUGUGCAAAAAGGUAAAAAUGUUAAGUACAUUUAUGUUAUAAACUUGUAAUGGAUAAAUUAUAAUAAAAUUUUACUUACUUGUUGAGAUAAGGUAAUAGAUAACACUCUUUUUGAUCCUGCUGCAACUUAUUUUGUAUGUAUUUUUGAGCCCCAAUAGAAUCAUAUUCACUCUGAAUGAAACACGGAUCAAUGAAUCCAUACACACCACUCUUGCCCAAGUCAAUACAAAGGCGAUGCAUAUAUCUAAGAUAUUAAAAUAAAUAAAUUAAAAUAAGUAUUUGUUAUAAAUGAAAUUAAUUUUGUUUACUAAUUUUACAAAUUAAAUGUACUUACGUCAACCAUAUUUGUAUAAUAGUGAUGCACAACUCUUGAUUACCGAUGCACAACUCCACUAUAUCGCUUUGUCCAAGAACACCAUUAUAGAUGUAAAACCAAAUUCAUCACUGUAAAACCAAAUUCAUCAAUUUUAACACCAUUAUUGAUGUCAAUCCAUUUACAUUUAAAAACAAGCACUUUAAAUUUAAUGAAAUCGAUAUCUCAAAUCUAAUGAAAUAAACCACUUUAAGAAAUUCUUGUUAUGCUCAUUCAACAACCAUUUUUCAUUCAUUCUAGGAUAAUUUUCCUUCACAAUGCUUUUAUGAGUAGAAAGGUAAGGUUGAACCUCAUCAGUGUUAUUCAAUAUAUACAAAUGUGCUUGAAGUACUUCCUCUCGUCCCAUGCUCUUAAGUUUUAAGCCUCGGAUACCAUUACCCACACAUGUUCCCUCAUGACGAGAUCUAGGAUUUCCUAUGGCUUCUGCUUUUUACAUAUAGUCAGAACAAAACUCAAUAGCCUCUUCUGCUAUGUACCUUUCAACAAUAGAGAUGCUUCAGGAUGGUGUGGAUUCUUCACAUAUCCUUUUAAAAUCUUCAUGUAACGCUCGAAUGGAUACAUCCACCUCAAAUAAAAAGGACCACAUAAUUUAAUCUCCCUAACUAAAUGAAAAUUAAAUGAACCAUGAUGUCAAAAAAAGAAGGAGGAAAAUACAUCUCUAGUCGGCACAAGAUAAUAACAGCUUCAAUUUCCAACUCAUUUAAUUUUUGAGGAUCAAUGAUUUUGCUACAAAUAGCGUUGAAGAAUAAACACAACCUAGUUAAGACCUCUCUUACUUUUUUAGGCAAUAUGCCAUGUAAAGCCACUGGUAGUAGUUGUUGCAUCAAAAUCUGGCAAUCGUGAGACUUUAAGCCAACUAAUUUCAAAUCUUUCAUUGACACAAGACUCUUGAAAUUUGAGGAGUAGCCACGUGGCACUUUUAUUCCCCUUAAACACUCACAAAAGCAUCUAUUCUCCUUUUUGACAAUGUAUGACAAGCAGGAGGCAAAUAUGUUCGUUUACCUGUUGAUUGUGGAGCUAAUUGUUGUCGUAUACCCAUAUCAACCAUAUCUAGACGAGAAUUUAAGCCAUCCUUUGUUUUCCCCUGAAUGUUGAGAAAUGUUCCAAUUACACUAUCACACACCUUUUUCUCUACAUGCAUCACAUCAAGACAAUGUCUUACAUCUAGACUAGACCAAUAAGGAAGAUCAAAGAACACUGACUUCUUCUUCCAUAUAUUUUUCUCAGAUGUCUGUUUUUGGUUAUUUCCAAAGAUAACAUUUAUAUCCUUAACCCGUUGAUAAACUUGCUCCCCAGUUAAGGAUUUUUGAGAAAUUUCAUGCUCUUGGUGUCCAUUAAACGCUUUUCUCAACUUACGGUAUGAAUGAUUAGACUUGAGAAAUUUUCGAUGCCCAAGAUAAAAAGUUUUUCUUCCAUGUUUCAAUUAUUGGUAGCAUGUUCCUUCUUCACAUAUAGGACAUGCUUUGUGUCCCUUAACACUAUAGCCACACAAGUUUCCAUAUGUAGGAAAGUCAUUGAUGGUACAAAAUAGCAUUGCACGCAUCUUAAAAUAUUCACGAGAAUACCCAUCAAACACAUCAACACCUUCCCAAAGCAUUCUCAAAUCUUCAAUCAAUGGACUUAGAUAAACAUCUAUGUCAUUUCCAGGUUGUUUUGGACCUAAAGUCAUCAUAGAUAACAUGAUGUAUUUACGCUUCAUGCAAAUCCAAGGAGGUAGGUUGUAGAUAACUAGUAGAACAGGCCAUGAACUAUGGUUACUACUUAAGUUUCCAUAUGGAAUCAUUCCAUCUGUAGCAAGUCCACGCCUAAGGUUCCUUGGCUCACUUCCAAACUCCGGGUACAAAUUAUCAAUUUUCUUCCAUUGCAAAGAAUCAGUUGGGUGACAAAGUUGUCCAUCACGCUUCCUCUCAUCGGCAUGCCAUCUUACAUUCUUUGCAUCAUUUGUAUUAGCAAACAAACUUUUGAACCUUGGAACUAUUGGAAGAUACCAUAACACCUUUGCAUGAGGUCUCUUUGAGCUUUCGUCAUAAAUGGAAUCACCAUCCUUCAUUUUGUAGCGUGAUAGUCCACACCUAGGACACUUAGUCAACUCUUCAAACUCAUUUCUAUACAAUAAACAGUCAUUAGGGCAUGCAUGUAUUUUCCUAUACUCCAUGCCCAUUGGACACAAUAACUUAUUUGCCUCAUAGUUACGAUUCGACAAUGUGUUACCUUCUGGGAGCAUUUCUUUCAACAAUUCAAGUAAUUCAAUGAAGCUUUUAUCUGUCCAGCCAUUUCUCGCCUUCAAGUUGAACAAUCUCAAUACCAUAGACAAUCGUGUGAAGUUAGUGCAUCCCGGAUACAAAUGCUCUUCUUUGUCACUGCACAAAUUAUCAUAUACAUGUGCACGGUUAAAGGACUCUUGUCCAACAUCACGUAUCAUGUCCUCUAGUUGAUCAUUCAUAUCUACAUUAAGUUCCUCUCUUUUUGAGGUAUUUGACAUGUUUAACGAAUCACCUUGCCAUAUCCAUCUGAUAUAGUUUAGGUCAAUCCCAUAACAAAUAAGAUGACUUCGUAUUUCCUCAAAAUGUAAUGUAUUUUUAUUCAAACAAAUAACACAAGGACAAUAAAACCUUCCUUUACUUUUAGGAAGUUUUUUUAAAGCAAAUUGUAAAAACUCCUCAACUCCCUUUUCAUACUCUUCACUCAAACGAUUAGCAUUCAUCCAACUGCGAUUCAUAACUACUUCUGAAAAAAAAUACAAUGGUAAAAUGAUUUUAAUCACAUUUUAAUAAUCAUAUUUCUACAUAAAAGUUAAUUGUGUUAUUUAUGUUCUCACAUCUAUUAUGUAUUUGCUUUUACAAUGCAAGGCUUACAUAGUGUGCAUAUGGUAAUUGUCUUUUUAAUACAACUUGAGGGUAAUGCAUGUUUUCUUUGUAACCAUUGUAGCCAUAGCAAUUAAAUAAGUUUUUUGAGCAAGAGAUUGGAGUUAGAAGAAGAGUGCUCAAGGUUUGGAUGCAUAACAAUAAGCACAAUCUUGCCAAAAAAUUACAUAAUCAUUCUUGUAUAUAUUGAUAAAUUUUUAUUAAAUUUGAAAGACUUAAAUUACCUUUAUAAAAUAACUCUUACACUAAAAAAAUCAUGCAUGUUCAACAAAAUGAUUUUCAAACAUCUUGAUCAUUUAGUCUGUUACUACUCCUAUAUUACAACAAAGCCAUAUAGAAAGAAAAGUACUCUCUUAAGAGUACUCUCUUAACGCUCAAACAUUGUCAGUUGGGGCAGCUCUAACUGCUCUUGAAGAGUGGAUGUGGACACUGGCCAAAAUUAUUAAGAAGGAUGAGGCACUACCAGAGCUAUUCUUAGCACAAACUGAUACUGGUGCUCAUAAGUUUGCCCAAGGACUCAAUAUUUCUUUUGCCUCUCAUUUGAGAAAGUUGGUUGUUCCAUUUAGACAAAGUAAAGAUCAAGUUGGUUGUUUUAUUGCAACUAUAGAGGAUUUAGUCUCUUGGGUGCAACAAUCAAACUCUAUGUCAUCAUCUAUUGCAACAUAAAGAUAGUGGAAAAGUUCAAUCAGAUUCACCUUUACCGCUAUAGCUAAUAGUGAUACUGGAGUCUAUUAUAUCACUUGAAAUGUCAAGAUGUGAGGAGUUGAAGCCAUAGGAUAUGAGUAUAUUGUUUUCCUCGUUCAUUAGAAUGCAAACACUCCCUAAAAUUUAGUAUUCCUUUUUGUUUCUUUGUUCAUUUUGUCUUGCAUCUUUCUAGUUUGUUUGUUAAUUUAUUUACUUAUAGAUUGCAUCUUUCAAGUUUUGAUACAGAUCGACAUGAAAAUAUAUAGGUGUUUAAUGACAAAUAGUUGUAUUUAUUUUGCACCAUUAUGCAAUUUCAUUAUACCUCAAUGGUGGCAUGUUAUAAUAUAAGUUACUAACAUUAUAAAAUAUACAAACCCUCGAUAAAAUUAUUUAAUAUCUGCAUCCACAAUUCCACAUUACUUUUUUUUUUUCAAAAUCUUAUUUGGAUAAAUGGAUUAUUCAUUGAACAAAUUAAUAUGAUAUGUCUAUGUUGCCUUUAGCACUAACCAUAUACGGUUGGUUAUGUGAAUGUUGAACUAAAUUCGAAGUCUCAUUGUUUGGUUAUACUAAUAAUAGCUUUAAAUUUUGAAUCAUAUAAGAGAUGCACUCUAAUUAAACAAGUGAUGUACUAUGACCAUGUGAACCAUAGGCUUCAUUUCACCUAUUGACCCGAAGCGUCCAAUCAUCAUGCAAAGUAAUUUCGGUUUGAGAACUAUGCAGCAAACCUAAACUAUAUUUACAAAUUUCACUGUAAAGCCAAUAAAACUUGUCUUCUACUCAAUUUAAUGUUUGUAAUACUUAUAAACAUGAUUUGUAGUGUUACUAUUUCAACGGUUUUUAUUGUUUAGAAAGGGUAUAACUUGGAUGAUUAUUGUAUAUGAAAAAAUAAUUGAUGUUGCAAAUUGUGUUAUUUAAAUUGUAUGAUAACAUUAUUCUAAAGUGUAGUACCCCUAAAAUAUAAAAACAUAUAGCUGACCUAUGCUCAAAUCAUUAUAUUUUUUGAAGAGCAUGUUGUAUUUAAAUAUUUAAAUAAAAAUUAAUACACUCAACAUAUAUAUGUAUCAAAGGUCUGCUUGAUUGUUUAUACACAUUGUUAUAGACAUAAAUGAUUCCAGUUCACACGACUAGAUGGUAACUACUUAUCCACUACUAACAAAAAUGCUAGAAAUUCCAUAAUGACUCUGGAAAAAACACAUUUACCAAGUGCAAGACAAAUACUAACUCAAAUUAAGCACAUGAAAGAUAACAACCAAUCAAUGUGUGGUUCCGUUGUGUUUAGUAUAAAAAAGGUCUAUUUCAUUGAGCAUUUUUUUAGUUUGAUUUGAUUUCAUCUCUCCAAUUUAGUAUCAUGUUAAUUUGCUAUGGUGAAAAUCCACCCUCGACUACAUAUUGUCAUUUCUAGAUUAAUAACCUUAUUUUAAUUUUUUAAAUUAAAACAAUAUCUUUUUGGAUUCUAAAAAUAUUUAUUAUGUAAAAUAUUAGCUACAGCAAGAACAAUAGUUGAGACUUAUUAUUAACAGAGACAAUAUCACAAACACAUAGCAUGCAUUUUUAAAGGAUGAUUGAAAAUUGGGAUAACUACUACUACUCAAAUUUCUCCAUCAAUUAAAGAUUAAUAAUAAGAAUAAUUAACAAUGAAAUAAUUUUAGAUUGUUGAGUAACAAACAAAAACUAUUAGAAAAUUACCUGAGAAAGCCACAAACACUUCUCGAUAGUGAAAGAAAUUGACUGAAAGCUGCGCUCGACCAACUCGUCGGCGAUGAAGUCUGAAAGCUACGAUUCACGAUUCACGUUUUCACUGAAGGAUGAAGGUUAAAUGUGGAAGGAUGAAAACGUUUUCACUGAAGGAUGAAGGUUAAAUGUGGCUGGGUUUGAUGAAAAACGAAUGUUAAAGGAUGAAAAAUGAGUUUGGAUUCGCGGGUUUGAAUUCGCGGGUUUGUGGUUUUGCAGAAGGAUGAAGAAGAACGAAUGAUGAAGAUGAAAAAAUGAAAGGGUUGGCACAUGUGAUUUCUUAUUCUUUAGUUAACUUAGGGAACUUUUUUUAAAAGACUUGUUAGAUCGGUCUAACAAAACAGAUCUAACAAAAUUUGUAAUAAUAACAAAUUUGUCACUGUCUUUUUUUUUUGUGUAGUCUUUUUUUUAAUGUAUAUGUUAGAACAGUUCAAUUAGAACUAUCUAACAAAAUUUACUAUAAUAAUAAAUUUACCAUAGCUUUUUUGUGUGUGCAGUUUUUAUUUUUAAUAUGUAUGUUAGAUCAGUUCAAUUAGAACCGAUCUAAUAAAAUUUAUUAUAAUAAUAAAUUUACCAUAAUUUUUUUUUGUAGUUUUAUUUUUUUUAAUGUGUUUGUUAGAACAGUUCAAUUAGAACAGAUCUAACAAAGUUUACCAUAAUAAUAAAUUUGCCAUCAUCUUACUUAUUACAUUGGAUGUAUAACAACCGAUCUAAUAUCGACAAUGUAACAAAGUUAAAAUGAACUAGUGAUGGAAUGUCUGUGGUGAACAGUAUGUCAAUCAUCUUGUACAAUAUUCAUCUACUAAAUUAAUUAGUUUCCUCUUAAACGACAUUUCCUCUAAUAGAACAUUAUCUUUGUCUCAAAUCCAAAUCUAAAGAAUAAUGACUGAUCAAUCAAAGGCAAGAACAACUUGAACAACUACAAUGAUUAUUGAUUCAUUCUAUGUUAUAUCACAAAUCGUCUCAAUUAGAUGUUUGAGAAGAACUAGAAAUUUAUAUAUCAUACAUGUGAUGGAUAUCAUAAAGUUACAAGUUUACAUAUGUGAACCCACAUAUAAACAAUAAAGUGAGUUUCUUAAAAUUUGAUGAAGUUAUAAGUUUACAUAUGUGAACCCACAAAGUGAGUUUGUUAAAAUUUAAUAAAGUUAUAAGAUUACAUAUGUUAACCCACGUAUAAACAAUAAAGUGAGUUUCUUAAAAUUUAAUAUUGUAAAAGAACAAUGGUGACAUUCUAAAAAAUGAUUUAAAUCUUAUUUAAUUAGCCAAAAGUUAUAAUUAUACUAAAUAUUAGUAAUAUGCAUGUGUUAAUGAUAAGGCAUGUACUUUUUCAAAAAGGGAUCAAAUGAUCAACGGUAAAACAAGGUCGAAUGAAUCCACGGUGAUAAUAUGCAUGGGUUAUGAUUAUGGAAGUUCUACUUGGGAAAAUAAUUAUUUAAUUAUUUCUAUCACAAUUCUAUUCAUCAUCUCAAAAACACUAUUUAAUUUUAGAGACUAUUGAUGACUAAUUUUUUUUAUCUAUACAAUAAGUGCCAAAUAGUCUCAAAUAUUCAUUUUCAUUAUCUGUGUGUAAGUACUUCCAUUUUUUUUUCAAUUUAACACUCAAUUGAGGUCUUAAAUUUCUUCAAUACACUUAAAAUCACAUAUUUACUCUUUAAGUUAUAAUCCGAAGUCUUUCUUAAGUGAUCACCAAUAAACUUCAGAAAGUACGCUUGCCCCAAGUGUUAUUUUCUUCAUAGGGUCUCAUAGAUAAGAAUGCAUCAAAUUAAUGAUUUCUAGUCUUCUAGGUAUGCGGCUCUCUAAAGAAUCUUUGUUCAUCUUUUCAACAAAAUAGUGAACAUAUUUCUUCAAGUGUGGAUUCUCAUGUCACAUAAUACAUCUCGUUUGGUUAGCUCAACUAUGUCUUCCUCGCUCAUGUGAAACACCUUUUUUGCCAUAACUCAACUUUUUCAAUUAGUUCAAGUGCAUGGACAUCUUUAAUUAUUUUUGCAUGUCUCACACAAAUGCUAGAACAUUUUGUACCUCUAGAACCAAUCAUAGAACCCUUGGUGAGUUUUCAUGUGUUUUGUGCGGACCAGUUAUCUUAGCCUUUAUCAUAUAGCUUAGUCACUAAAAGUAAAUUUAACCAAAUGUCUUGAACAAACUUCACACCCUUGAGAGUUAACUUGGUAUUAUUAGACAUCUCUAAAACCAACACACUUUACCACACCUUCAUGAGCUAAUUUCACAUUACCAGAUUCACUUGGAGUAUAAGAGCAUAAAAUAUUUCUCUUGAAAGUAUCAUGUACUAAAGUACCAAUAUUAAUCACUCAAUUGGAUACACUAUCAACAAUAUUAACAGUAUCAUACUCUUCAAUAAGAAGAAAAUCAUCUGAUGUCAUAUUACCUUUGGUGUCAUCAAAAUAUUUUUCUUUCAUCUUUCUUUUACCUUCGUUCCCAUUUUACUUUUUAAAAAGCCAAAAAUUAUUCUUAAUAAGCCUUUUUUUUACCACAGUGGUAGCACUCAACAAAUUUGUACAUGUUUCUAGAAUUGCUUAUGAUUUGAUCGAUCUCUAUUACAUGAAUAUUGAUUCUUGCUUCCCCCUAGAUUUAAUAACCAACACCUUUGACUACAAAGAAGAGUAUUGAGACUUUCUUACCAUCUCCUCAUUCAAAAUAAUACUUUUUACAAUUUUCAUUAACAACACAACAUCAUGAGUAGAAUUCCACAAUGGUAUCUUGUAACUUUCUCAAGGGUUAGAAAUGGAACCAACAAGAAAUAACUCUUGAAUUUCAUCAUCAAAUUUAACACCCAUAAUAGAGAGUUGAUUCAGAAUUCCUUAAAAAGUAUUCAAAUGAUCUGCCAACGAAGUCCCUUCUUGAAGUUUCGAGCUUAAUAACUUCUUUAUCAAAUACAUCUUGAUAUUCCAGUCUUUGCAUACAGUUGCUCUAGCUUAUCCCACAAUGAUUUAGCAUCUUUCUCCCCAUUAAUAUGGCCCAAUAACAAAUGUAUCUACACAUAAGUCUGUGCAGUAGAGUCUGCUUAUCAUUCGGCUUCACUGUAUUGAACAUAGGUUGGUGAAUUUUUUUCACAUACAGAGAUCAUCCAUCUUACUUUUAUAGAUAACAUAAUUUGACCUAUUAAUGAUCACCAUAUGGGUUGUAUUGACUUACAUAAGUCACCUUAAAAUAAUUACUAGAAGAUAACCGAAGUUCUGAUGCCAUCUACUAUCGAUGCUUUUUUUUUUUUCUCUUCUCUCAGUCACCCUCUAUUUUUUUUUUUUUUUUUGUUGAUUCGUAUGCACAUGAACCACUACUGGGACUUUUCAUGUUCACACGAAAAUAAUUAGGGAUAAAAAUAUUUUUUAAUUUGUUACACAUUGGUGAAGCCCAAUCAAAAACAUGCUUUUUUUUCUUUUUCUUUUAAUUGGUGUAGAAUCUCACUUGAGGAUAUAUCCACCCAACAGCAUGAACAAAUUUUUUUUCUUCUAGACAAAUAUUAGUAGUUAAUAUGUUAGAGAGGAAAAAAUUAGUAGUAGGGAUUGAAUCAUUAACUUGGUAGACCCAAAUCACAAGACCGAUCAUUCAAAUACUAGUUAUGUUUUGUUAACUUAUUGGCAACUUGUUUGUACAGUCUAAUACUAACUAGUAUCUAACUUAUACAUGUCAUUUAAGUCUAGGCUAAUCCCAACGCAUAUUAAGGUUUAAGAUGAAGCUUUUUAAGAAUAAUGACAUUUUAGUAUAAAACUGCAAUAUUUUUAUUUAAAUUUUAUUGUUUUUCUUAGACACUUUAUAAUACAAAAUAAUUUAUUAAACAAUAAUAAACUCAAUAUACUUAAUUAUUUUGUUGUGACAAUAUUUAUUUUUGUGUAAUUCAUGGUUGAUGAUCACACAAAAAUAUUUUAUUAAUAUAAAAGACCUUUGUAAAAGUUUUUAUUUAUUUUUAAAAAUUUAACCAUAUCGUCUAAUCAAGAGAUAUUAAUUCAUUUUUGUAAAUUAAUUAUUUCACUCGUAUAUAUAUUAUUGUUUGAAACAGUCUAUGUUACGUUAAUAUUAUUAAUACUUAUUAAAAUUAUGUUUGUAGAUGAAAGUCAAACUCCUACCUCUUAUUAUUACACUUUAAUAGUUUAACUCAUUUAACUAAGUCAACAAACCAUUCUCAUGUUAAUAUGGGUUAGAAGUUUGUAUGAAUCAAUACACAAAGAGAUGAAAAUUAACGUACGGCACAGUACUUUAUUCUGAGCAUAAAGACCAUUCAAAUAUAAAGAAUAUUUGUCAUUACCAUGACACUAUAUAUAUAUAUAUAUAUAAACUGCUACCUUGUUGAAAUUGUCUAAGCAUGCGACGAGAACAAGUCAUCUUGGAAAUUAGAAAGUUUUAUUUAUAAUAAUAUCUUUCCUUUGGAUACUACAAAUGCUAAUUAAUAUGGUAUUUCAAUCAAAUUUAAGCCAUUGGUGUUGAAAGAUUUCAAUAAUUCAAAUGAGAUUAUUCCUUUAAAUCUCAUGUUAUCAAUGUAUUAUGCAUAAAUGUUACUCCAACUCUUUGUCUCGCAAUAACUGUUACAAUCCCAAGAAAUCAUAAAAAAAAUUGUUUAAAAAAGUCGAUCACUUUUAAUUUUCAAUAUAAUUUUAAUUAUAUUUUUAGUUAUAUUCUUUAAUUAAUAUUAAGUGUUUCCCUUCUAAAAUUUUAUUCUCCACUAUGAAUUAUAUAUUAUAAAGAAAACACAUCAAUAAUUAAUAACGAUAAUUUAAUAAAAUCACUAUUAUCUUUUUUAUUUUUAUAUUCUUUUUUUCAAUCUUUGUAAAAUUGUCUAUUGCUGAAAGUUAUAAUAGGAAGAAUAGAUUAUUGUUUAUUUAGAAUUCAAACUUAGCAUAGUAAUUAUUAACUUUCAUUUUUAUUCCUUUUGUUAUUCAACAAAAUUACAAUAUACUAUUAUAAGAUUCAAACCUAUACUCGCCUAAGUAAAAAAAAAAAUCAAAUGGUGUUAAUAAACAAUAAAUUAAAACAAUUACACUCAACAAAAUAUAGAUUAGUCAAAGUUUGAUCAAGUCACUUGCAAAGGCCAAAUUCCAGAAUGGGGAUAAAAAAACAUACACAUCUUUGUCAUAGUGACAUCAAUUAACUAUAUUCAUGGUUGCAUGGUUCUAUAUAUAUAUAUGUCAUGCAAAAGUUAAACACACCUCACUAAUUACAUCCCAACUUUCCUAAAUUCUCAUUUUUAAAAUUCCCUUCAUUAACUUGUUUCCAAUUUAUUGGAGUAAAAGAAAAAAGUUAUAUAAAUAUGGAUGCUUAUAAAAUCUUCUUCUUCCUUCUUAUUUCUUGUUACACAAUCGCAAUCGUUGCGGCGCAAGACGUGACCGGUUUCGUGAACUCAAUAGAUCCUAAUUUUUUUAAAAAGAGACAAAAUGCUAGCCACUUUAGGUUUUAUUGGCAAGACAUAGUGGGAGGAGACAAUGCUACUUCAUUUGAUAUCAUUUCAUCAAUUCCUAAAUAUAAUGGAACUAGUUUCUUUGGUUUGGUGAAAAUCAUAGACAACCCUUUAACCUUAGGACCUCAAUUAAGCUCAAAAUUGGUGGGAAGGGCUCAAGGGAUAUAUGCAUCAACCUCAACAACCGAGCUUAAUUUUCUUAUGAUUAUGAAUUUUGCCUUAUUUGAAGGGAAAUAUAAUGGAAGCACAAUUACUAUAUUGGGAAGAAAUGU
rnacentral:lncRNA from 1 species